rnacentral:rRNA from 1 species
UACGUAGGGUGCGAGCGUUAUCCGGAUUUAUUGGGUUUAAAGGGUGCGUAGGCGGAUUAUUAAGUCAGUGGUGAAAGCCUACAGCUUAACUGUAGAAUUGCCAUUGAUACUGAUGAUCUUGAGUAUGAUUGAGGUGGGCGGAAUGUGUCAUGUAGCGGUGAAAUGCUUAGAUAUGACACAGAACACCGAUUGCGAAGGCAGCUCACUAAGCCAUAACUGACGCUGAUGCACGAAAGCGUGGGGAGCAAACAGG